UUCCCCAUUUCAAUACAUUCCCUGAUACAUAUACUUCAUUACGUACAUGUUCUUAUAGCAUCCAGAUGCUGAUACUUUAUAUGUUGAAAAGAUUGAUGUUGGUGAUAAAGAGCCCCGUACUGUUGUGAGUGGACUAGUGAAGUACUUUAAAGAGGAGGAACUGCUGGGGAAGAAAGUUGUGAUGCUUUGUAAUAUAAAGCCAAGCAAAAUGAGAGGUAUUGAAUCACAGGCAAUGUUACUAGUAGCUUCACUGAAGUAAGUAAAGUUUUACUUCACUGAAGUAAAAUCCUGGCGUAGCGAGGAUUUUUGGAAAGGAGGGGUAAGCUGUGGGGCGCGCGAAGCACGCCGCAAAAUUUUGCAAAACCACGCCCUUUUGGGGGCGUGGCCACACCUAAUUUUCAACAUGGUGGACUUCUUGACCGAUCAUAGGCAACGUUGAAUACCUUUUCAGCCUUAUAAUGGCAUCAUAGAAAGACUGCUUUGGCCUUUUCCUUUCAUAU